AACCAAGCUUUGCAGGGUACAGCGUGAAGAGGAGGUGCAGCUUCAGCAGACUAUCAGCUUUUUAUGGGUGGUUAAGCCUGUUCUGCCAGGGGAGGGGCUCAUCUCUCCCUGCCUAGGGGUCUCUAGCCCUACAGGGCUAUAGGCUUUUCUAUUACAUGGAGACUCAGGUUAUGGAACCCCCAAGACAUGAGCUCACCUCCUUGGCAACAUCUCCAAACAGAACUUGGAACCCUUUUCAAUGGGUGUCACAAUCUAGUAACAGCCGUCUCCCAAGCUCACUUCACCAGAGAUGGUCAACAGCGAACAUGCUGAGCUGCUUCUCCACUUUGAGAGGCCGCAGCCUCACAACCCCAGGGAGAGAAAGUAUCUAUGAAAGAUUAAGAAGACGGCUGACUCCAUCCAGAUGCCACAGGCCACGCUGCAGCAACCGCAUGACUAUCAUAGACACCCCAGGGACGGUCUCCCCAGGAGUGACCACCAGUGACCUACCAAAAUCAAGAACAUACCAAAGUGCCUUGUCCAGGAGAAGAGAAAUCCAUCCACCACAGAGCUGCAGGCUGCUGGAGAAAGCUGUAUUAUGUGAAUGGCCACACUUUUCAGCCCAAACGCUUCAGCAGGUGAGCUCACUGUGCUGACUGCACAGACCAUGUAGGCAGACUUGGCCGCUAGGUGUAUAAGUGCACCAACUGCAAACUCUCGGUUCACAAGAAGUGCCACAAACUUGUCACAAUUGAAUAUGGGCAGCGUUCUUUACCAUCAGAGCUCAUGGUGCCAGUCAAUCCAUCAUCCAUGGCUUCAGACCCUGCACACACAGCAAUCCCACAUAACUUUUCAACUCAUGAGGCUUUAGAACAAGUUGAUGAAGAGAAUGAGGCAGGGAACACCAGGGAAGGUGGCAAAGCUUCAUCUGGUCUAGGUCUUGAGGACUUUGACUUGCUCCAAGUGAUUGUCAGAGGAAGUUAUGGGAAAGUAUGUUAGUCCAACAGAAAGAAUCAAAUUGUAUAUAUGCAGUGAAAGCAGUGAAAAAAGAGGAUGUCAGUGUUGAUCGGGUACAGAAAGAGAAGCGCAUUCUAAAGCAGGCAUUCAAGUGUCCUUUUCUAGUUGAACUGCAUGCUUGCUUCGAGACAGAAAGCAGACUGUUCCUUGUUCUAGACUAUGUCAGUGGGGGAGAUCUCCUGUUUCAUUUGCAGCAACAAAGCACACUUCCUGAAGAACACGUCAGUAAAAUAUCUUACCUGUGCUAGUUUCUCUCUAACCACGCUUUUAAAACUGACCACCUUUCGAGGUCAGUUUAUGUAGUCUUGAGGAAAAUCCAAAAAAAUACCAACAAUUGUGAAUAAAAACACAUAUACUUGUAUACUUUUUUUUUGAACUCGUAUCUUUUUUAUAUGAAGAAAAUACAAUAUAUGACUACAAGCUUUGGAAAGGUAAUAGUUCUCAUGAAAUGGGGCAUCUGAAAAAAGAUUAAAAGAUAAUUUAUUAAAUGUUUAUAAAUUUUAAAUUGUUCUAAAUUUAAA
rnacentral:lncRNA from 1 species